GAAAUGCGAUAAGUAAUGUGAAUUGCAGAAUUCAGUGAAUCAUCGAAUCUUUGAACGCACAUUGCGCCCGCCAGCACUCUGGCGGGCAUGCCUGUUCGAGCGUCAUUUCAACCCUCAGAACCCCUUGCGGGAUCUGGCGUUGGGGAUUGGCAUCCAGCCAGCCCCGAAAUCUAGUGGCGGUCCCUCCGCGACCUCCCCUGUGCAGUAGCGAUACCUCGCAGCGGGACAGCGGUCUGACCACGCCGUAAAACCCCCAACUUCUCAAGGUUGACCUCGAAUCAGGUAUGAAUACCCGCUGAACUUAAGC
rnacentral:misc_RNA from 1 species